rnacentral:rRNA from 1 species
CUACAAUGGUCGGUACAAAGGGUUGCCAAGCCGCGAGGUGGAGCCUAAUCCCAUAAACCGAUCGUAGUCCGGAUCGCAGUCUGCAACUCGACUGCGUGAAGUCGGAAUCGCUAGUAAUCGUGAAUCAGAAUGUCACGGUGAAUUACGUUCCCGGGCCUU